rnacentral:tRNA from 1 species
GAGGGUAGAGCUCAGCGGUAGAGUGCAUGGCUAGCAUGCACGUACAAGGUCCUGGGUUCAAUCCCCAGCACCUCCA